UACGUAGGGGGCAAGCGUUGUCCGGAUUUAUUGGGCGUAAAGAGCGUGUAGGCGGCCAGGUAGGUCCGCUGUGAAAACUCGAGGCUCAACCUCGAGAUGUCGGCGGAAACCAUCUGGCUAGAGUCCGGAAGAGGAGAGUGGAAUUCCUGGUGUAGCGGUGAAAUGCGCAGAUAUCAGGAAGAACACCCGUGGCGAAGGCGGCUCUCUGGGACGGUACUGACACUGAGAACGCGGAAAGCGAUGGGGAGCGAACCAGG
rnacentral:rRNA from 1 species